CUGACGCGGUGAAUACGUUCCCGGGCCUUGUACACACCGCCCGUCAAGCCAUGGAAGCUGGGGUACCUGAAGCCGGUAACCGUAAGGAGCCGUCGUAGGGUAAAACCGGUAACUGGGGCU
rnacentral:rRNA from 1 species